CCAAAAGUCUUGGCUGCAAGGAAUUUACAUAGUGAAUAGCCAAGACACAGUGCAGAAUGAGGGAGACAUUCACUACAGACAGGAAGCAAAGAAAAUUGUUUUGCUAAGGCUGCUGUGUACCAGCAGUUGAAACUAAAUUCAGAUUUCUAGACUGUAUGCAGUUUGUCACAGUUUAUUUUACAAUGCGCUUUUGAUGCUUGAGGAAGGUUCUCCUGAUUCCCUUCUGCUUUCCUAAGGAGAAGUUCCGGAGUGGGAUGUGGACCUCAGUACACCACCACCACACAUGAGCAGGGCUUGCAGAACAAUCUAUUGCAAUAUGUCAGAUGCGAGCAAGUACUGUAAAGCAAGAUCCAUAGAGCAACUGAGAACAGGGAUGCAGCAGCUUGUCUGUCAGGAUGACACUGUCCUGACAGAGGAAAUUGCAAGAGGGCAGAGGCUUCCAUUUCCUCCUGGAUUUUAUCGGGAUCCACAGUCUGCUGUGUAACACGGUACUGUCCACAAAAUGAGAGUGGAUCUCUAUAACAUCUCACAGUCUGAGGAUUGCUGUCUAGGAUUGCAGGAGAAGAGCAUUUGGGAUUUACACAAAAGUUACUGUAAAACUGGUUGGAGACCAGACCCACUUGUGUGUUUGAGGGAAGCAACUGGGGAAAAGAGGACCUGCGAAGCUACUGGAGGAAUCAAGUGGAGCCCAAAUCCUAAACUCAGCUAAAGCCAUUUCUUUCCAUUUAUCUUGGCAGUUUGCAUCUAUGCAGUGUAGGCCUGAUUCUGAUUCUGUAAAGUCAGUGUUUCAAUUUAGCCAUUCAUUCUUCUCAGCCUCCACAGAGACCUGUUUCAGUGUUCUGCGUUUGUA